rnacentral:lncRNA from 1 species
GGCUGCCGCGGAGAUGCAGCCCGGCCGCUGCCGUAGUAAGAGAGCUGCUCCUCCGGUGGUUGGGCUGAGGAACGCUGGGCUCCUCCUCCUCGUCCCCCCCAGCAGUGCACAGCCGGGCGUGUGACUGACGAGUCUCCCCCCGUCUAUCUUUUUCUUUUUUUUCCUUUUUUUUUUUUUUUUUUUUUUUUUGCCAUGGGUACACACACCGAGACACGCACAUGACAGCACUCGGGUGCCAGCGCCGGUGCAUCGCCAGGAGGGCUGUGCUUCACUCCGGGCACGCACACACGCAUGCUGCUGCUGCUUCUGCUGCUGGAAGUCUUUCUACACGGGGAUUAGCAGCCGCCUCUUCGCUCUAUUUCCCUGUCUCUUUCUUCUCCCUUCCUUCCCUUCCUCCUUCUCUCCCUAAAACGCCUGACUGACGGACGGCGGGCAGGAAAAGCCUAAAGCAUCACAAGGGCCAUAUUGUUCAGGAUUUCAGAGAGCAAUCGUUUAUCUUUGUGGAUACAAGUAAACGGACAAUGGUGUCCCGACCAUCUGCUCAAGCUGCUUGAGAACAGUCUUCUAUGCAAAUGGCAUGAAAGCAGGGAAAAAGCAAUAACCCCAACUGGCAGUCCAAAAAUAACCAGAUUGGAGGGUGAAAGGAAAAAGAAGGAAAAGGGAAGACUAAAAUGGAGAGGUAAACUGUUAUUGUGUAGCCACAAUUCCCUUGCAAGGGGGAGCAGGGAGGCAGCAUUUUAUCAGGAGUAUGUGGGAAUGCAGUGGUAUAUGGUGACUGCAAAGGAGGAGCAGAGACAUCACUGCUACACCAUACCAUUUGAAAUGAAGAGAUUUGAGGGAGACAGAGGGGAGCAUCUCCAGUUCUCAUCUGGAGAUGUUAGUACUUUGUGGUCUGUUGUUUAAUAAAGUUCCUUAAAUACCUCCUGAAUAUUGGACUGUUUCUAGUAAUUCACUGUAAUAUUAUCUCUCCCCAUUUCUAUGGUGACUUCUGGUCUCACAUCAAUAGUUUUAGUCUGGGUCGUUCAAACAUUCCUGAUUCUUUGCAAUUAAGUUGUGCAGGAGCAGAUUCAUUUUUGUGAUUUCUUUUCCUUGAUCAUCAGAUGAAUGAAGGGUGUUGUGCAUGCUGCAGGAUUGUGGCAUGUUUAGGCUGUGAUAUGUGAUAUUUUGCAUCUUCUUUGUAUUUGUGGAAAUGAAAAACCUCAGCCAAAAUGGAAGGAAAGUUAUGAGUCCUGAAAUGGAUAUUCUCCUUUUCUGAUUCAGAAAUGAGCUGUGAUAUGAUAUAAUUUGAGGACUGGAAAGGAAAGGGGAGGAUGGGAGGAAAGUAGAAAAUACAAGACUCAAAAGUGCUUAGAACACAGUUGCAACAUCUAUUGCUUUUUUUCCUCAUGAAAAUAAAUUUAAAUGUUUCUUCUUGAACA